CGAUAGCUUAGUUGGUAAAGCGCUCGUCUGACAUACAAGAGUCCUGGGUUCGAAUCCCAGCCG
rnacentral:tRNA from 1 species